rnacentral:lncRNA from 1 species
CACAGGCCCAAGUACUUAGAUGAUAUGAUUCUCCUCUUCUGCCUGGGUCAUGGCAACAGGAGGAUGAAUUAUUUUAGCAAGCCCAGAUUACAGUUUCAGAUAUGACAGUCAACACAUCCUGAAUGUUGGGUCCAACUACAUGAGGCACGUCUCAUCAGUGAACCAGAUCUAUGCGUCAUAGCCUCAAUUCCUAUUGCAUGUUGUGUUGACUUAAUGGAGUCCCAGUUUUCUUGGUGUGCUGAAUCCUGGUCUGAGAGUCACCAACCCACCUGUGGACCACAUUUAUGUAUAAGAGCCUUUUUUAAAAAAAAUCUUCUGACUGCCUCUGGUUGUUAGAUUUAGAACCUCA